rnacentral:rRNA from 1 species
AGAGUUUGAUCCUGGCUCAGAACGAACGCUGGCGGCGUGCCUAACACAUGCAAGUCGAACGAGAAAGUCCCUUCGGGGAUGAGUAAAGUGGCGAACGGGUGAGUAACGCGUGGGUAAUCUACCUUCUGGAGGGGGAUAACCUGCCGAAAGGCGGGCUAAUACCGCAUAAAGUGACUGGUCCAUAUGAGCCGGUUACCAAAGACGGCCUCUGCUUGCAAGCUGUCACCGGAAGAUGAGCCCGCGUCCCAUUAGCUAGUUGGCGGGAUAACAGCCCACCAAGGCUACGAUGGGUAGCCGACCUGAGAGGGUGAUCGGCCACACUGGGACUGAGACACGGCCCAGACUCCUACGGGAGGCAGCAGUGGGGAAUAUUGCGCAAUGGGCGAAAGCCUGACGCAGCAACGCCGCGUGAGUGAUGAAGGCCUUCGGGUCGUAAAGCUCUGUCGCAGGGAACGAAAACCACUAUUUGAAUAGGGUAGUGGGAUGACGGUACCUUGCAAGAAAGCCCCGGCCAACUCCGUGCCAGCAGCCGCGGUAAGACGGAGGGGGCGAGCGUUGUUCGGAAUUACUGGGCGUAAAGGGCGCGCAGGCGGUCAUGCAAGUCGGUGGUGAAAGCCCACGGCUUAACCGUGGAAUUGCCUUCGAAACUGCAUGACUUGAGUACGGAAGAGGAGAGCGGAAUUCCCAGUGUAGCGGUGAAAUGCGUAGAUAUUGGGAGGAACACCAGUGGCGAAGGCGGCUCUCUGGUCCGAUACUGACGCUGAGGCGCGAAAGCCAGGGGAGCAAACGGGAUUAGAUACCCUGGUAGUCC